UGAACGCUGGCGGCGUGCCUACUACAUGCAAGUCGAGCGAACAGACGAGGAGCUUGCUCCUCUGACGUUAGCGGCGGACGGGUGAGUAACACGUGGAUAACCUACCUAUAAGACUGGGAUAACUUCGGGAAACCGGAGCUAAUACCGGAUAAUAUAUUGAACCGCAUGGUUCAAUAGUGAAAGACGGUUUUGCUGUCACUUAUAGAUGGAUCCGCGCCGCAUUAGCUAGUUGGUAAGGUAACGGCUUACCAAGGCGACGAUGCGUAGCCGACCUGAGAGGGUGAUCGGCCACACUGGAACCGAGACACGGUCCAGACUCCUACGGGAGGCAGCAGUAGGGAAUCUUCCGCAAUGGGCGAAAGCCUGACGGAGCAACGCCGCGUGAGUGAUGAAGGUCUUCGGAUCGUAAAACUCUGUUAUUAGGGAAGAACAAAUGUGUAAGUAACUAUGCACGUCUUGACGGUACCUAAUCAGAAAGCCACGGCUAACUACGUG
rnacentral:rRNA from 1 species